GCCUGAAUAGCUUAACUGGUAGAGCAUCAGGCUUUUAACCUGAGGAUCCAGGGUUCAAGUCCCUGUUCAGGCA